CUACCCAGUUAGACAACCUUCUGUAUUUAUCAGUUUUGCUUUCAAGAACUUUUGGCUGUGUCUCCAAAUGAAGUGCACCUUCAAAACACACAAAUUUUAUCAUCACUGAAGACACUGAAAGAUUUUUAAAACAGCUAAAAAGGGGAGUGUUUAGAAAACUUUUUCAACAAACGUAGCAACGUUGGGAGCAUGUGUAUGGCCUCCAGAGCACUGUCCAUAAGCAAGGGAUUCCAAUUUGGCAGAUACAUUGUGAUGGGUUUCUUUUUAUAAAGUUCUACUACAAGGUAUACCAUCUAUAGACCCUUGUUGAUUCUGUCAGACCAGAAAAUUCUCAUCAUUCCCUCCAUUCUUCAGGAGUAUGACAAGCAAUAGAGAUCAGGGUAGAAUUUGGUAGACAUUUGCAUCUCAAGUUAAGGAAAAAGAAAGAUAGGAAAGAGAAAGCCAGAGAAGAUAAGACAAAAUAGGAGGAAGUAGUUACUGUGCUCAAAUACUUGCUAGCUACUGUUUUAAAUAUUCUUGCCGGUGAUAAUUAUUAGUGAAUAUUUACCAUGAGCCAGUCGCCAUGGUUGUUACUUGACGCAAUGUUCUGCAUUACUCUUCCAAUAACUGCAUCUAAGAAAUGUGUCCUUCCAGUUCUUUAUGGGUAAAGAGGUGGAGAAAGUCUUUUAUUGUAAGUAAAUGGCCUAGACAAGAUUAAAACUCUUGCUUCUCUAAUACCAGAGCCAGUGAUCUAGUAAAUCAUACCAAGAAGCUAAUAGAAAUCAGCAUCUCACUGGUCAUCUUUCAUAAAAUGGUAAGUUUAGAUACAACUAAGUCUGUUAUGGGAUUAUGACAGCCUGUUUGUCACUCUGAGCCUGUUUCAUGGGGUUUCUGUGGAUUCCAUCAUAUGCCUUUAUUUUAGACUUGGCCCGUCUUUUGAGAUCUUAAAGUACAUGCUUGGGGUCAAGGGAACCACAAUAAGAUUGAAAUUAGGUAGUCAUUAUGGUUCUCUUUAGUACUUUUUAUUUGAUUGAUUCACUUUAAGACUAUAAAUUUCUGCCUCAUAGGUUUUUUGUUCAUGCGUUGUUUUUCCCAUGACCUCAAUACUUCUAUGCUAUGAAAGGCAACCAUUAACAAUUAAUUAUUUUAAAGAAUUAAAUACCUGUUGAAUGGAAAUAGUUGACAUAGACUAGCACUGAUAUUUUUCUACAGACUGUUAUUGCUUAGGUUUUUUUUUUCUUUCUUUUUCUCAUCCCACACAUCCCUCCCCACUCAUCCUUUGUAAAGCAGAAAGUCUUUUUUCUACUGGCCUUCUGACCCCACAUAACUACUCAAAUAGCCUAUUUUAAGUGGUCACUUUCUGCCAGUCUCUGUCCUGAAUGUUUUAUCUAUGGUUUUAGACAUCAAGUCCUUGAUAGUAGGACUCAUGUCCAGCUAAGCCCUACACUGUAUCUCCAACUGACCAAGUAUGACCAUCAUGCCCAUCAGAAGCAAAAGUCAGGCCUGAGGGCUUAACAUUGUGAUGUACAAUCUUUUUUUUUGUCCUGUCAGCUGUUACUGUACAUGCUCAAGUACAUUGUUGGGGCUCCUAGUCCAUGAAAUUUGGUCCAUUGGAAUUAGAAUGUACCUACAUUGAUUUCAGCUUUUGGUGUGAUUAAGCCUUUUGUUUUGUACAGUUAAAAAAAGAAAAAGAAGAAGUCUGCUUAUUUCUUUUAAGAGUUUUUUGAGCUAUUAAGAUGGUAAGAACAGAGUCUUUCCUUCCAAGGCUACUUCUUAGUCUUCUUUUCAUUGGGUUUGCUUUCUUUCCCUCCAUCCUCUCUUCUUCCUUUCUAGUUUUCCCUCUUCAGACUCUGUUUCUAAUCCACUUGGGAGGCAGUCUAUAGUCUCUCCUAUAAGAAUCCAGAUGAGUUUCCAAUCACUUUUUUUUUUUUUUUUUUGGUCUUCUGUCUUUUUAGGGCCACACCCGUGGCAUAUGGGGGUUCCCAGGCUAGGGGGUCUAAUCGGAGCUACAGCUGCCAGCCUUUGCCAGAGCCAUGGCAAUGCUAGAUCGGAGCCGUGUUCGCAACAUACAACCACAGCUCACGGCAACACCGGAUAUUCAACCCACUUAGCAAGGCCAGGGAUUGAACCCUCAACCUCAUGGUUCCUAGUUGGAUUUGUUUCCCCUGUGCCAUGGUGGGAACUCCCUCCAAUUACUCUCACUCUAUGAAAUGCCCAUCAGCAGUUCCUCAGACUUUAAUACCUAGACAGAUGUAUGUGCUCCAUUGAGGGAGAAAGGGCUGUGGAAUGCAGCAUGUUGUAUGCCAAUACUAAUAUUCUAUUCUGUAGAUGUUGGUACUCAGUCUUGGUUGGCUGGGCAAUUCCUAUGUAGCUUUUGCUUAAUGUCUGAGUAAUUGGCGGGAGAAGGACUUUGGUCUGUAAUUUCUCCUUUUGUGACUUCCUCUUUUUGCACUUUGAGAUUAUGAGUGAGUGUGAUUUCAGAUGAGAAACACUUAACAAUGAGUCAGGGAGAUGAAAUUUCGCUGAGAUGCAGAACACAGGAAGAGAAAAUGUGUGAAAAAUCACGUUGACGGGGUUUUCUUGGUAGCUAGUAAAGCAGAGAAAGGAAAUUCCCACACAGCAGGCUCUAAUAAAAUUGGCAGGCAGGGAUGGCGGAUUGUGUGAGAUACUGAUGAAGAAUAUAGAGAUGGAGAGCAAGUGAAGGAAUCAUAGAAGCUUAUCAGCCAUUCUUUCUCUGCGCCUAAUUUACUCUCUAAAUGAGUUUCCAGAUGAGAAUUGUUUUCCCAUAAAUUUGCAUCAAUAGAUUUACAAGUAUGGUUGUGCAUUUCCUAACACAAGGGUUAACCAAAUAUUAGGCAAUAUUAUUGUUUGGUAUUUGUUUUGCAAUCCCAAGGAUAGCUUAUGAAGAGUGGACAUUUAUGUGUGUGUACACCAGACUCAAUAUAUGGAAAUUCAGAUUCCCAAAGGAAAUAAAGCAGGACAUGGUCAUUAUUGAAGGAAUGUACUCAUCAUGUGAUUGUAUUAAAGACACACACUCCUUACGGACUUUAAAAAUAUCAUUUGAUUUUCAUACAGCUUUUCUGGAUUUUAAUAUUUAUGACAUCAGGCAAGCUUAUUACCAAGUUAAAACAUGGAAGUCCUAUUUCCUUGUUGCUUGACUCACCAUUUACUUGGUUUAUUAAGGAUCCACCAUUUACUUGGUGUGCUUAUUUUUGAUAUUCUUUUUCACCCACCAGUUGGCAAGAUGCUUGAGACAAGGCCAUUGUUUUUCUUCUUCCUUCGUGUUUUUUUGUGGCAUGCAGUAGUUGCUCAGUAAAUAUUCACUGAAUGAGAAUGAGGGAUCUUGGGAGAUGGGGCAAGUUUGCUUCACAUGAGUAAAUCACCUAUCCCAAAGGUGGCAGCUAGCCCAGAACUCCUUGAUCUUAUCCCCCAUUGUGUCAGUAGCUGUCCUUUGUGUCACCAGCAGGGUUUUUGUGGGAGAGGGCAGUAUGCUUCCAGGGCAGGCUGCAAGAGACUAGGAGCUAGGACAGAGGCCUGGGAGGGUCACACAGGGAAUUAAUGGCUUUAAUACAUGAAAUCGGUGGGGAUAACAACUUUAACAUUUACCUCUUGCAAACUUGUGCUGAAGGCCCUUCCCAAAUUGAGGUUUGUGGCCUGUGAGAGAGUCAGCAGCUUCCAGAGCAAGGGCCCAGCAAUAUUAGCCUCCACUGAGUGCUUUUUAACUAUUAACUGGCUCAGAAAGGCAAAGCAGCAAAUCCUGCUGGCAACUGAAGCCUGAAAUAGUGUUGUUACAAGUGGAAGGUCACUUGACAAGGAUCCCUCUAGAACUCUGACUUCCUUUACUUCCAGAGGAGACCAUGAGCUUAGGCACAAAAUAGGGAUAAAAUGCUUAUUUUAGCUGAAGAUAUCUGUUAAAAAGAGUGGGGAAAAUAGGCUAACCCCUGUGCCCCUGCUUUGCACUUGGUUCUGGUAAGAGAGAAGGAGAGGCCCUCAGCUCCCGCUGUGCUCAGUGGGGUCCCUCCAAGAGCCGCUCUUGUAUUAACCACUUCACUGUUUUGUCCCCAUCUCGUUAUCUGUUCUUGUUAGAAUCUUUAUUAUUCAUGGAUGCAAAAAAAAAAAAAAAUCCCAUCAUUAAACCAUCAUAAAUAUUCAUAACACUUUGCAAUUGUGUGCAUUUCAUUUAGCCACUUGGCAAAACUUCUCUGAAGUACCAAGAGUUUUAAGGAAAUCUGGCUAAUGAGACCAGAGCUCAGGAAAGGCAGGGUGGCUUUCCUACUUUUUGUUAUUUGAUUUUAACCUGAAAACAAAUGUGGAAUAUAAAUAAUAAUUAAACGAGAUAAGCAGUGGAGGCGUUUCCUUGCAGUGAAGAGCCACACAUUCCUCCUUUUUGUCUUGAUUGUGCUUUUGUGUCAAGCAGAAGAUAAGGGUAAACACUGUACUACAAGAGAGGGACUAACGGGGCAGCAAUGCUAAUGGAUUUAUCCAGGAGCCUACAAAGGCCAGAUAAACCCUCUGCUUUGGUUAACAAGGACCUCUCUUCUCAUGUUCCGUAUAAUUACUGACGUCAGGUUGGAGGUGAGAUAAGCGUGACUCCUUUCUUGGUCUUAUUAUAGUAGAUGGCCAUCCCAUUUUUACUGUCUAAGGAAGAAUUACAUCCAUCUCUCUCUCUUCUGCUAAUCCAGUUUAUCUAAACCAUGCACUCUGCAUCAGUACUGAGAGCUCUUCAUGGGAGUCAAAGAGAAGCCAGCAAACUUCGGCAGCAGCCCACUGGAAUUGGAAUAAUGUGCUCCCCACUGCCACCCCUCCCAUUCAGAGCACACAGAUUGAAACCAGUGGGGGCAUCUUUUGUUUUGCACCUCAAAUUCAUGCCUUGAAACGUUUCUUUCCUGCCUUUUCAGCUUAAGGAUUCUCAGCCCUGAAAAGGAAUUUUUAAACCGUAUGAGCUUAUAGAGAGAAAAUAUUUAUACCAGUAUGUCUCGUGGCUCUUGCCUACGCUGGUUGAGGAUUCCUCCACGCCACUGUGACAGCCUUUAUGUUGGAUAAUGAGAUUCCUUCCCUGCAUAACAGCUAACAGGUGCUAGAAAAUACUGGUUACAAUCGAGACUGCUCAGCAAGUUCUGCUUUCCCUGAGGAGCUUGUGCCAAGUAGAAACAAGUUACCACCCAUCCAGGUAUUAGCCUGGCUGCUUGUGUACAUCACUUUGUUAAGGAAAUGUCACACGUUAAUAGGAGAGUGCUCCAGGUUCCCAAACAGAGACCAAUUAUAGAAGGUUCUCCUUGGUCUGCUCCUGUGGAAGUCUUUUUUUCCCACUCUUGAUCCUUGAGCUCAUUUGUGGUGGUCUUUGGCAUCCUUCUCAUUGUUUGUUGGCCCAUCUCAAAUACUUUCUAAUUAGAAACUUAAUCUUGUACCUUCUCCUUGUUCCAGCUGAUAUGGUAUAUCAGCAGAGAGAAGAGGCUCUUUUCACUAUUUUUUAUAUUUGACUGC
rnacentral:lncRNA from 1 species